CUUUAGAAAGUCUGGAGUCAGCACCUAG
rnacentral:piRNA from 1 species